rnacentral:rRNA from 1 species
UACGUAGGGUCCGAGCGUUGUCCGGAGUUACUGGGCGUAAAGCGCGCGCAGGCGGUCCGCGAGGUGUCACGUGAAAGCCCCGGGCUCAACUCGGGAGGGUCGUGGCAAACCGGCGGACUUGAGGCCGGUAGAGGUGGGUGGAACUCCUGGUGGAGUGGUGAAAUGCGUAGAGAUCAGGAAGAACACCCGUGGCGAAGCGGCCCAGCUGGGCCGGAACUGACGCUGAGGCGCGAAGGCGUGGGGAGCGAACGGG